AGAGCGAACGCUGGCGGCAGGCUUAACACAUGCAAGUCGAGCGCCCCGCAAGGGGAGCGGCAGACGGGUGAGUAACACGUGGGAACGUGCCUUUUGGUUCGGAACAACCCAGGGAAACUUGGGCUAAUACCGGAUAAGCCCUUACGGGGAAAGAUUUAUCGCCAAAAGAUCGGCCCGCGUCUGAUUAGCUAGUUGGUGGGGUAAUGGCCCACCAAGGCUACGAUCAGUAGCUGGUCUGAGAGGAUGAUCAGCCACAUUGGGACUGAGACACGGCCCAAACUCCUACGGGAGGCAGCAGUGGGGAAUAUUGGACAAUGGGGGCAACCCUGAUCCAGCCAUGCCGCGUGAGUGAUGAAGGCCUUAGGGUUGUAAAGCUCUUUUAGCAGGGAAGAUAAUGACGGUACCUGCAGAAAAGCCCGGCUAACUUCGUGCCAGCAGCCGC
rnacentral:rRNA from 1 species